rnacentral:tRNA from 1 species
GCCGAUGUGGUGGAAUUGGUAGACACGCUAUCUUGAGGGGGUAGUGGCGGAAGCUGUGCCGGUUCGACUCCGGCCAUCGGCACCA